AUGAGUGUAGUAUUUAUAACUAUUUAGAAGUCAGGCCUUACGUUCGGCAACAAUAGACGCAAUUUCAGUCAUUUGGCAUCUCUUUUUUUUUGUUCUUUUCUUUGGACUGAGAAAAGAAAGGAAAAAAAAAGAAUGCCAAAAGGCUAAGGUAUCUUCCGCAUAUUAUGUAGUUUAAAAGGAAUUUUGGAGCGGAGAUGAACAAUUUUGGAUGGGUCAUUAUAGUCUCAUCUUCGUUUGGCAGGAUUUUGAACAAGAAUGGCUUGCCAUGUCCUCCAUUUGAUACGAGUGAGAAGUGUGAGGGUAUGACGUCAGGGCUAUGUGUUCCGUGUUCGAAAAUUAUUGGUAAUUUUGACAAAAUGAGACUACAAUGACAACAUAGAUGAGCAUGUCAACGAAUGAGGUGAAGGACGACAUUGAUGAGAUUAUAACAUAAGGGUCCUAUACUAUGAUUUUCCAAUACUUCAAAGAUCAUUUAUAACCCAAGAUGUCCCCAGGGGGCACUCUAUAUGUACCAUGUAUGUAGUACUUGUAUUUAUCUUAUACUUUGUGGGACUGACUACAAUACUUGCAUGCACGUACUACAAUCACCAUCUAAUGUCAAAUAUAAUUUAUGUGAUUGUAUUCAUGAUGUUUUUAACAACAUUGAAUAACGUCCUCGCAAAGUA